rnacentral:tmRNA from 1 species
ACCCUUUCAAAAGCCACCAACCGUGCCUAUAUUGGGUUUGUCGGGGCAACCCGACUAUGGUGAUAAAUGACCUUUGUAAUAAGCCAUUCGGACCCGGGGGCGGUACCCGGCGCCUCCACCAAACUGCACAGGGCGUAAUGAUUGCGCAGUUUGGCGGGGGCGAAAUAGGAUCGACGAGGGUGUAAAGACUGCGUUUUCACUCGGCAUGGUACCCACCGAUAUCGGGCCAUUAUAAUAGUUGCAAAUGAUAACAACUAUGCGGAAGCACGGAUCGCAGCGUAAGCUGUGCUAAGUCUUCAAAUUAACUCCUAGCGGUUCGCACUGUUAGGCGGGGUUCGGAGGUACCUGGCAACAGAAACCUCCACU